AAAUGUAUAGCACAGUAAUGAAGGCAGCAACAUGUGAUAGAUGGGACAGAGCAAGAGAGACAUAAUAAUCUUUCAUUGUGCUAAAGUAUUAUAAUACGAAAGGGUAUGGCUCCUAUACAGCGUGCAGCGCUUAUACGCAACCAGUGCGCAGAAUGGUGCGCUUGAAGCAACACAGAGUCACAGCAUGCAGCAUUACUCAUAUAAAGUACUCAUCUCGAUACUUGUGUGCCGAUUCAAUAUAUAUUGCCAUAAUUGAGUAUUGUGAUUAUAUAACUAUUGCAAUUUGUGACUUAUCCAAAUUGUCUAUAAAAUUAUUUGUUUGUUUGUGUAGAUUUGAGGGAAAGAUGAAAAAUCAGGAGGUCUGGGAACGACUGAAGAAGACAGCAGUGAGGGAAGGAAGUAAUCACCAAAUCUGCCAGAGAAGGAUAUUGACGGUGCAGGCUCAGGAUGAAGAAGAAGGAGGAAGAA